UACGUAGGGUGCAAGCGUUGUCCGGAAUUAUUGGGCGUAAAGAGCUCGUAGGCGGUUUGUCGCGUCUGCUGUGAAAACUCGGGGCUUAACCCCGGGCCUGCAGUGGGUACGGGCAGACUAGAGUGCGGUAGGGGAGACUGGAAUUCCUGGUGUAGCGGUGAAAUGCGCAGAUAUCAGGAGGAACACCGGCGGUGUAGACGGCUUUCUGGACCGUAGCUGACGCUGAGACACGAAAGCGUGGGUAGCAAACAGG
rnacentral:rRNA from 1 species